rnacentral:rRNA from 1 species
AUGAGUUGGAAAGCAACCUCACUCUUAGGUAUGAACGAACUCUCUAAGCUUAAUCAGUUUUACAAACAAAGAAGUAAGAAGGGAUGGGUUGUUGCUGGUGACCGUAAUACUAAGUUUUUUCAUCAGGCUGUGAUCAAGAGAAGGAAAAGGAACACUAUUUGUUUUAUUAAGGAUGAAAAUGAUGUGCUUCAUUUCAAACCAAAUGCGGUCACUAAUACUUUUGUCAACUAUUUUAGUAACACUGGCAGGCCUUUUCUCACUACUCAGUUGCCUAAUAACUCUUUGGAUCCUACUUAUUCCAUUCCAGAUAAACAUGAGGUACUACAGAUUCUUAAGGAGAUGAAGUUGAAUGCUUCUCCGGGUCCGGAUGGAUUUAAUGUUGAAUUCUACUUGGCGGCUUGGGGUUGGAUAGGUGAUAAGGUUGCACAACUUGUGGUUAAAUUUUAUGAAACUGGUAUUUUACCUCCUCAUAUCAAUGACACCAAUAUUGCUCUCAUUCCGAAGAAGUUAGCUCCUCGAGUUCCUAUGGAUUACCGUCCC